UCAAGCAAGUAAGGGCAUACGGUGGAUGCCUUGGCACUGGAAGGCGAUGAAGGUCGUGGCAAGCUGCGAUAAGCUUCGGUGAGGAGCAAGCAUCCGCAUAACCGGAGAUGACCGAAUCGGAAAACCGAAUACAGGAGAACCUGUAUUAUCUAUCACUGAAUAAAUAGGUGAUAGAGGCAAGACCAGGGGAAUUGAAACAUCUAAGUACCCUGAGGAAAAGAAAUCAAACGAGAUUCCCUCAGUAGUGGCGAGCGAAAGGGGAAGAGCCCAAACCGGAUUAUACGUUACAGGCUGGAGCCGCUGUAAAUCCGGGGUUGUAGGAUACAGACAGAGAGCACUCCAGGGCUCUCGGGAAGUUACAAAACCUCAUGUUAGCAGAACCCGCUGGAAAGAGGGCCAAAGAGGGUGAUAGCCCCGUAAGCGAAAACAUAGAGGACUUCCUGGUCUGUAGACCUGAGUAGGGCGGGGCACGUGGAACCCUGUUCGAAUCUGGGAGGACCAUCUUCCAAGGCUAAAUACUAACCAGUGACCGAUAGUGAACAAGUACCGUGAGGGAAAGGUGAAAAGAACCCAGAGAUGGGAGUGAAAUAGAACCUGAAACCGUAUGCUUACAAGGUGUGGGAGGGCGAAAGCCUGACCGCGUGCCUUUUGUAGAAUGAGCCGGCGAGUUACUUUAUACAGCAAGGUUAAGCAAUAGUAAUUGCGAAGCCGAAGCGAAAGCGAGUCUUAAAUGGGCGUAUAGUUGUAUGGAGUAGACCCGAAACCGAGUGAUCUAGUUAUGGCCAGGUUGAAGUGGCGGUAAAACGUCAUGGAGGACCGAACCGGUGAAUGUUGAAAAAUUCUCGGAUGAGCUGUGACUAGGGGUGAAAGGCCAAACAAACUCGGCAAUAGCUGGUUCUCCUCGAAAUAGCUUUAGGGCUAGCCUCAUGCGUUUAGUUACGGGGGUAGAGCUCUGAUUGGGCUAGGGGGUCAACAAACUUACCAAACCCAGUUAAACUGCGAAUACCGUAACUUUAGAGCAUGGGAGUCAGACUACGAGAGAUAAGUUCCGUGGUCAAAAGGGAAAGAGCCCAGACCAACAGCUAAGGUCCCCAAGUGUAUGCUAAGUGAUAAAGGAGGUGGCGCCGCACAAACAUCCAGGAGGUUGGCUUAGAAGCAGCAACCCUUUAAAGAGUGCGUAAUAGCUCACUGGCCGAGUGGCGCUGCGCCAAAAAUGAUUGGGACUAAGUAUACCACCGAAGCUUUGGACUUACGUAAGUAAGUGGUAGAGGAGCAUUCUGUACCGGGCUGAAGGUAGUUCGUGAGAGCUGCUGGACUGUACAGAAGAGAGAAUGCCGGCAUGAGUAACGACAAACACGGUGAAAACCCGUGUCGCCGAAAGCCUAAGGUUUUCUGGGCAAUGUUAAUCAACUCAGAGUUAGUCGGCCCCUAAGGCGAGGCCGAGAGGCGUAGUCGAUGGGAAGCAGGUUCAUAUUCCUGCACCACCUGGUGGAGGCUAUCGUGAUGGAGUGACGCAGGAGGAUAUAUACGCAGGGCGUUGGUUGUCCCUGUUCCUGAUUGUAGGUCUGGGUUAUAGGAAAAUCCGUAACCCUUAUGACAGAGGAUUGGGGGGAGUAAGAUUAUCUUGCGAAGGUGUAGAUUCCAUACUGCCAGGAAAAACUUCUAAACGCGAAACUGGGUGACCGUACUAAAACCGACACAGGUAGGCGGGGAGAGUAUCCCAAGGCGCUCGAGAGAACCUCCGUUAAGGAACUCGGCAAAAUGGUCCCGUAACUUAGGGAAAAGGGACGCCUCAUUAGUGUGAAGCCACUUGCUGGUGGAGCAUGAAGAGGCCGCAGAUAAAUGGCCCAAGCGACUGUUUACCAAAAACACAGGACUCUGCAAACUCGUAAGAGGAAGUAUAGGGUCUGACACCUGCCCGGUGCCGGAAGGUUAAAAGGAGGGGUUAGCGGGUAACUGCGAAGCUCUGAAUUGAAGCCCCGGUAAACGGCGGCCGUAACUAUGACGGUCCUAAGGUAGCGAAAUUCCUUGUCGGGU
rnacentral:rRNA from 1 species